UAGGGAAUCUUCGGCAAUGGACGGAAGUCUGACCGAGCAACGCCGCGUGAGUGAAGAAGGUUUUCGGAUCGUAAAGCUCUGUUGUAAGAGAAGAUCGAGUGUGAGAGUGGAAAGUUCACACUGUGACGGUAUCUUACCAGAAAGGGACGGCUAACUACGUGCCAGCAGCCGCGGUAAUACGUAGGUCCCGAGCGUUGUCCGGAUUUAUUGGGCGUAAAGCGAGCGCAGGCGGUUAGAUAAGUCUGAAGUUAAAGGCUGUGGCUUAACCAUAGUACGCUUUGGAAACUGUUUAACUUGAGUGCAAGAGGGGAGAGUGGAAUUCCAUGUGUAGCGGUGAAAUGCGUAGAUAUAUGGAGGAACACCGGUGGCGAAAGCGGCUCUCUGGCUUGUAACUGACGCUGAGGCUCGAAAGCGUGGGGAGCAAACAGGAUUAGAUACCCUGGUAGUCCACGCCGUAAACGAUGAGUGCUAGGUGUUAGACCCUUUCCGGGGUUUAGUGCCGCAGCUAACGCAUUAAGCACUCCGCCUGGGGAGUACGACCGCAAGGUUG
rnacentral:rRNA from 1 species